rnacentral:lncRNA from 1 species
UUUUUUCUUUGACAGUUCACUGCCUCACUAAUCGAAUGAAUUGCUUACACGUCAAUUGAAAUAGAAAAAAGGAAGAAACGCUUUAAACUUCCUAGUACAAAAUUAAUUGCUGCUUAAGCCAACAAAAAACAAGAUGGGCUUGACUAUAUCUAGCCUCUUGACACGUCUGUUUGGAAAAAAGCAAAUGCGCAUUCUAAUGGGUAAGUUUGCUAAAAACGGUGUUGAUUGUUGCUCUAGGCGGUGGCUAUUGAGCUACCAGCUACAGACCAUAUAAAUAUCUAUGCUCUUUAUUUUCUUAUGAUAUUUGAAUAAUUCUGUGCACUAAACGACAUUUUCGAACGCAGUUGGCUUAGAUGCAGCUGGAAAGACGACCAUACUCUACAAACUGAAGCUGGGAGAAAUUGUGACAACCAUUCCUACCAUCGGUUUCAACGUAGAAACCGUGGAAUAUAAAAACAUAUGUUUUACUGUUUGGGAUGUCGGUGGUCAGGAUAAAAUUCGACCAUUGUGGCGCCACUACUUUCAAAACACGCAAGGUUUAAUUUUUGUCGUGGACUCUAACGACCGUGAUCGUAUAAAUGAAGCUGAAAAGGAACUUCAGAAUAUGGUAUUUGCCUUAUCUUUUAAACUGUUCAAUAGGUUUAUCCACUAACUAAUUUUCUGUAUUCAUUCUAGCUUCAAGAAGAUGAGCUUAAAGAUGCUGUGCUCUUAGUUUUUGCUAAUAAACAGGAUCUACCGAAUGCAAUGACUGCCGCGGAACUUACAGACAAGUUGCGGCUGAACCAAUUAAGAAACCGCCACGUACAUAUUUAUUUUUUUUAACAUGUUAAUAGUACUUAAUUAAUACUCCGUUUUUUGCAGUGGUUUAUUCAAGCAACUUGCGCCACUCAAGGUCAUGGACUAUAUGAAGGACUUGAUUGGCUCUCCGCUGAGUUGGCAAAGAAAUGAAUGAUUAAAGAACAUAAAAUCUAACAAAGGAAUUCGUUUUGUCCUACGCUGAAAAUAAUUGAUUAGAUCCUUAAUAAAUAUGUAAAUGUAUAUAAAGUCGCUUUUAAAUUUUCAACACA